AGUGAAUAGAUACCCGGGUAGUCCUAGCCGUAAACGGUGAGCACUAGGUGUUGGAGGCAUCGACCCCUCCAGUGCCGCAGCUAACGCAUUAAGUGCUCCGCCUGGGGAGUACGGCCGCAAGGUUGAAACUCAAAGGAAUUGACGGGGGCCCGCACAAGCGGUGGAGCAUGUGGUUUAAUUCGACGCAACGCGAAGAACCUUACCCAGACUUGACAUGCAUAGGACCGGUGUGGAAACACACCUUUCCUUCGGGACCUAUGCACAGGUGCUGCAUGGCUGACGUCAGCUCGUGUCGUGAGAUGUUGGGUUAAGUCCCGCAACGAGCGCAACCCUUGUCCUUAGUUGCUAACGGGUAAAGCCGAGCACUCUAAGGAGACUGCCGGUGAUAAACCGGAGGAAGGUGGGGAUGACGUCAAGUCCUCAUGGCCCUUACGGUCUGGGGCUACACACGUGCUACAAUGGCCGGUACAAAGGGUUCCGAUACCGCGAGGUGGAGGCAAUCCCAAAAACCCGGGUCUCAGUUCGGAUUGCAGUCUGCAACUCGACUGC
rnacentral:rRNA from 1 species